ACCUGGCCGGCUCAGUGGGUGGAGCAUGUGAUUUGUGAUCUCAGGGUUGUGAGUUCAAGCCCCACGUUAGGUG
rnacentral:tRNA from 1 species